rnacentral:rRNA from 1 species
GUGACAGCAGCCGCGGUAAUACAGAGGGUGCUAGCGUUGUUCGGAAUUAUUGGGCGUAAAGCGCGUGUAGGCGGCUCCGCAAGUUGGGUGUGAAAGCCUUCGGCUUAACCGAGGAAGUGCGCCCAAAAUUACGAGGCUUGAGUGCCGGAGAGGGUGGCGGAAUUCCCGGUGUAGAGGUGAAAUUCGUAGAUAUCGGGAGGAACACCAGCGGCGAAGGCGGCCACCUGGACGGUAACUGACGCUGAGACGCGAAAGCGUGGGGAGCGAACAGGAUUAGAUACCCCAGUAGUCC